CACACUCAUAAUUGACCCACAAAUCCACAAUCAUAACUACUAGCACAGCUCCACACUCCCACAGCGAAUAACAAAUAUGAGAAGAAGAGUAGAACAAACGUACACGAAGCGGCUAGAAAUUGAAGCUCCAAGCUUCAAGGUCCAAGCGAAUCGAAGAUGAGGAGAAGUCUUGAGCAGAAAAGAUUCCGACUUGCGAAGAAGAGCAGACGAGCAGAAAAGAUCCGACGAAGCUAGAAGACCAGACGAGCAGCAGAGGAACUCCGAAGCGGCUGAGAUUAAGUCUCUCUCUCGAUCUGGGUCUGAGAUUGUAACUCUCUCCCUCGAUCUAAGAUUAGGUGUCUCUCUCUCUCUCUCUCUCGAUCUGAGUUUAGGACUCUUUUUUUAUUUUUUAUUUUCUAUUUUUUCAGGGUAAAAAGUCAAGAUUACCCCCACGUAUCCGAUUUAUUUACAUUCUUACGUAUCCAAAUAGGAUAUGGACGUAUUCAAAUAAGGAUACGCGUUUCCGACGCGUUUCGUACCCGUAUCCCGUAUCGGUACCGGAUACGGAGGCAAUUUGACGUUUCCAUGCAUCAUAGGGUUUGACUCUCUUCAUGGGCUUGCGUGCUGUGGCUGGAUUUGUUAGAUUGCUUUCAAAAUCAGGUCCAUGGUGGUUCCUGCAUAGGGACACUGAGACAUCUCAGCUUGUAACCAGCGGAUAUUAGCAAAAUCUGGAUUUGGUUGAAUGACAUCCUAGGCUGAGUACCUUUCAUAAACUGGCGACAGGUUGCAGGUGUAUUGCAGCUUUGGAUUCCCUAGUCAUAUCAGCUGAUUAAACAAUUUUUGAUUCAUUGGCAACAUCUGGCAAUAUUCUUUUAUUGUAUAUAUAAAAAGUAAGAUCUUUAUUAAUUGUUUUAACUUUUAUGUAAUCAUAUCACUCGGUUCAGUAGAGUUUUCCCUAUUCUUGCAACAAAUUAUCUUGCAACAAAUUAGAGCAUCUGGCAGGUGGUUCUAUC